rnacentral:rRNA from 1 species
UACGUAGGGUGCAAGCGUUAAUCGGAAUUACUGGGCGUAAAGCGUGCGCAGGCGGCUUUGCCAGACAGAUGUGAAAUCCCCGGGCUUAACCUGGGAACUGCAUUUGUGACUGCAUGGCUGGAGUGCGGCAGAGGGGGAUGGAAUUCCGCGUGUAGCAGUGAAAUGCGUAGAUAUCAGGAGGAAUACCGAUGGCGAAGGCAGGUCUCUGGGCUGACACCGACGCUCAUGCACGAAAGCGUGGGGAGCAAACAGG